rnacentral:lncRNA from 1 species
UAGGCCUUAUCCUAGAGCUGCUGCUACUAGUGGUGUUGGUGCUGCACACGGCACACCCAGGUGAAGGCUAUUCCUGGAGCUGCUGCUGAGGUCGGUUGAUGCCCACAUUCAUCUCAUCAACCUGAAUUUGGCAACAACUCUAUCAAUAUUUGGCAGUAAUGUGAACAAGUUAUUGUCAACUGAAUUUGAAUCGAAAUGGUGAUAUUUACUAUUGCUAUUGGAGUACUCCAAAAUGAAUGUUCAGGUGUUUCUAGCCAACAAUUCUGAACAAGCACAAAUAUGGAGAAGAAGGUGCUCACAACUGCCAACAGCAGAGGACACUAGCAGCUGGCUCGGCGCCUCUCCGCAUAAACAAGAACUGCAUAAACCAAAUAUGGAGAAGUGGAUCAGGCUUUCAUCAAGCAAUUUCGGAGGGAAAAAGUCUUAUGACAGCAAGAGCAGACACACUUUAAAAUUGGCCAGCAGACCAGAUAUGGAUGUUCCUGCCACAACCUAAAACCAAAGAAAAGAAGAUUCAAUUAAUUAACUUUAAAAUUGGCGAGCAGACCAAAUAUGGAUGUUCCCGAGCAUAAACAGAAAUAGUCUGCUGGACCAUGGCAGUAUACAUUAUUUUUCUUUAGACAUAAACCAUAAGAGAAGAGAAGAGAAGAUGCCCUACGGUUAGUGGAGUACUCCUCUAGCGAUGCACUGCUACUGUUAAGCAGAGAAGAGAAGAAAAGAGAAGAGAAGAGAAGCUGCGCCAUAUCAAGUUUUUGAAUAACUACUGCAUUAGAUCAGCUACUGCUCUAAAAAAUUACUGCACCAGAUCACCUUCUCUGAAUAACUACUCCAUUAACAGGAACAAGCUAAUCCAAAAUUAACAGUGCUCUGAAUACUGUAAUUAACAUGACACCUUCUAUGAAUAACAGUACAGCGAUCAGUUACUCCAUUUUAACAGUACUGCUCCAUUUGCUCAAUGGGAGUGUUGUACCCAGACAUCGCUAGAAAUCGCGGGCAGCAGCGGCAUCAAACAAUGCGAAUGCAAAUCUUAAUUCUGAAAUCGGAAAGCAAAAGCAGCGUCCACAAACUGAAAAUGAAGGCUAAAUUAUGGUCAAGAUAUUGCAACCUUUAUGUUUCAGAAUUCAGCAACCUUUAUUUUGCAACCUUUAUGCAGAAAUUCUGUUCAGCACAUAUUUUUUUCUUAUUUCUUCAAUCUUCUUUUAUUCUUCUCAAGAUAUCUUAUGUCCUAAGGUUAAUUUGCAGCAGGAGUAAGAUGGAGAACAUGGUUGUGCCAGACCUCAACUGCACUCCACCUGCAGAUGAAAUGGAUGAAGAUCCAGUAGUUGAAAUGGAUGAAGAUGCAGUACUUCAAAUGGAUGAAGAUGGAGGUACAAUUACAGUAGCAUUUCAGACUACUUUCAGUUAACUGCAGCAUUUCUGACUAUUUUUCCUUUGUUAUAUUUCUUCGUGCAGGUGUUGAGCAAGCAGUUUGGAAAAGGGACAGCCUUGAUGACAAGCAGAAGUAUGUUGCUUAUGUUGCAUUGCAUACAUUGUGUAUGAGUAGAGGGGGCAAAUUUCACAGAGAUGAUAAGAAAAAAGUGGCUGCCUUUUUUGGAGUAGGUGUCUGGAAUAUUCAAAGAGUUUGGAAGAAAGCGAUGAGGCAAAUUGCACAAGGUUUGGAGGUUGACGUUUCCAGUCAAAGAAAAGGAAACUGUGGAAGAAAGGCAAAGGACAUCAACCUAGACCAAAUCCCUACUAUCCCUUUGAACAAAAGGUCUACCAUCAGGUCACUUGCUUGGCAACUCGGAUGCAGCCCCACCACACUCCACAGGAAGUUCACGUUGAAGUUGAUAAAGAGGCAUUCAAAUUGUGUGAAAUCAAUUUUGAAGGAAAAGAACAUGAAGGAUAGAAUGAAAUUUUGCUUCUCAAUGCUCGAUGAGCCAACAAUAGAAACUGGAAGGCCUAAAUUCAAGACCAUGCACAACAUUGUGCAUAUUGACGAGAAAUGGUUCUAUAUGACAAAAAAGAACAGGAACUAUUAUCUGCUUGAUGAGGAGGAAGAGCCUACAAGAACUAUACAAAGCGGCGCUAGUAUUGGUAAUGUAAUGUUCUUGACUGCCGUUGCUAGGCCAAAGUGGGAUAGUGAAGGAAAUGUGACCUUCUCUGGGAAAAUUGGAAUUUGGCCAUUUGUGAAAGAAAUUCCUGCUCAAAGAAAAAGCGACAAUAGGCCUAGAGGAACAAUGGAGACGAAGUCCAUAAAAGUUAACAGGCAAGUGAUGAGAGAGUUCAUGAUAGAAAAUCUACUGCCAGCAAUUCAAUCAUCUUGGCCUGAUAAUGAUGCUGGACAAACCAUCUUCAUAAAGCAGGACAACGCAAAGCCUCAUAUCCUACCCAAUGACCCAGAAUUUUUAGUAGCAGUCGAAAGCACAGGACUAGACAUCAGACUAAUUCAGCAGCCCGCCAAUAGCCCUGAUUUGAAUGGGCUUGACCUUGGAUUUUUCAAUUCGUUGCAAUCGCUGACAGAUUGUCUAAGCCCAAGAACCCUUCAAGACCUUAUUAAGGGUGUGUUGGAAGAAUUUGAAAACUAUGAGGUUUACAAACUGAACAGAGUUUUCUUAUCCCUACAAGCUUGCAUGAUUGAAAUUUUGAACCAUGCAGGCGGCAAUGGCUAUAAAAUACCUCAUGUGAACAAGGAAAGGCUCGAGUCUCUUGGGUUGCUACCGCAAAGACUUACAUGCCCUCAAGAGGUUUACGCAAAUGCCCUACACAACCUACAACUAAUGGAGAGAUGCUAGAGAUGCUUGUUGUUGAGAUGAGGCUUGUUGUCGAGAUGCUAGAGAUGCUUGUUGCUGAGAUGAGGCUUGUUGUUGCGAUGAGGCUUGUUGUCGAGAUGCUAGAGAUGCUAGAGAUGCUUGUUGCUAAGAUGAGGCUUGUUGUUGCGAUGAGGCUUUUUGUCGAGAUGCUAGAGAUGCUUGUUGCUGAGAUGAGGCUUGUUGUUGAGAUGAGGCUUGUUGUSGAGUAUGUAGAGAUGCUUGUGCUGANAUGAGGCUUGUUGUUGCGAUGAGGUCUUGUUGUCGAGNNNNNNNNNNNNNNNNNNNNNNNNNNNNNNNNNNNNNNNNNNNNNNNNNNNNNNNNNNNNNNNNNNNNNNNNNNNNNNNNNNNNNNNNNNNNNNNNNNNNUGUCGAGAUGCUAGAGAUGCCAGAGAUGCAGAUGAGGCUUGUUGUUGCGAUGAGGCUUGUUGUCGAGAUGCUAGAGAUGCUAGAGAUGCUUGUUGCUGAGAUGAGGCUUGUUGUUGAGAUGAGGCUUGUGUGGAGUAUGUGUAACUCCUUGUUUGUGUGGAGUAUGUUUAAACCCUAGAGAUGAGGCUUGUUGAUAUGUUGAUAUGCUUGUGUGGAGUAAAUGAUAUGCAAAGUUUCUGGAAUUUGAAUUUAAGUUGCUGCAAAGUUUUUUGAAUUUUCAGAUUUUUGAAUUUAAGAUGCUAGAGAUAUUUUUUGAAUUCAGUCUAAUUAUUGAAGGUGCAGAACAUGGCUGCUAAUAAUGGUGUUGACUGGCCACACCCUACUGCUACUACUGGUAAGUGGUAGACAAACUACCUUAUCUCUACAGUGCUCUAAAACCUAAGGAAAGUGCUUGUUGGCUCGCUAGAGCGAUGUGGAGAGGGUGUGCAGAUUUAUCCAUUUUGUUCAUGAUAUCCUUGCCUGUAGCACAUCUCCACACUGCCAUGUUUCUUGUGUUAAAUAUUACUCCAUCUAUUUGUAGUCAAGUACUGGUUGAAUAUUAGUCAAGUUCAAACGAACAUGUCAGCCCUUUGGCAAAUUGAAAACUGAAUUCAGUGACAUUUUGUCAGUUUCAGCGGUAACUGACACUGAGAACCCUUUUUUGCUCAUAAGCACUUUUGAGAUCAGAGAAGAUUCUAUUGAAAUAAUUGCUCCGGGAGCUUCUCUGAUGACUCACAAUGGUCAUAUGAACAUUUGUUAUGCUUAAUGACUCACAAUGGUCUUGUUUGCAACCUGACCAGCACUGGGAGCUUCUCUGAUGUACUCUUCCAUCGUCA